AAAGCCAGUUCAUGCUUUUACAGUAUGAAAAUUGGUGAUUUAUAAUAACUUAGCAAAUCGCAAAGUGAAAACAGGCGAUAAAUCAUUCAAGUUUCUGACCUAUCAGCUUUCGACGGUAUGGUAUUGGCUUACCGUGGCAGUGACGGUUAACGGGGGAUUAGGGUUCGAUUCCGGAGAGGGAGCCUGAGAAACGGCUACCACAUCUAAGGAAGGCAGCAGGCGCGCAAAUUACCCAAUUCUAACAGUUUGAGAGAGGUAGUAACAAGAAAUAACAAUACAAGGCAGUUAAAAUGCUUUGUAAUUGGAAUGAUAGAAAUUUAAACCCUUUUUAAAGUAUCAAUUGGAGGGCAAGUCUGGUGCCAGCAGCCGCGGUAAUUCCAGCUCCAAUAGCGUAUAUUAAAAUUGUUGCAGUUAAAAAGCUCGUAGUUGAAGUUCUGCUGAAAGUAACCGGUCUGCUUUUAAUAAAAGUGGUAUCUUGGUAUGUAUUUAGCAAUGAUGUCCUUUGAAGUGUUUUUUACUUUAUUGUAAUAAAGCAUAUUCAGGACUUUUACUUUGAGAAAAUUAGAGUGUUUCUAGCAGGCUAACGCUUUGAAUACUGCAGCAUGGAAUA
rnacentral:rRNA from 1 species